rnacentral:lncRNA from 1 species
AUUAAUAGUAGUUUCUAUCUAUCUUAAUUACAUUGACAGCAAAGCAAAUUGCUGAUGUGGCAAUCAAAUUAAUAUGGAGAGAGAUUGCAAAUCAAAGAAACCGUUUCUUAUCUAAGACUCGGUGUCGACUCGUGAAUCAAGACGUCAAGAAACUAGCAAAACACUGUUGGGAGGACUCUACUCGUUUCUAUCGUCUUCUUUCUCGAUCCUGUGUGCUACCGCCGCCUCGCAAGAUCCCCAUGCACGCUCUCCACCCGCGCUCACUGCUCCGGCGCUUGGUGGUCCACACUCGCUCACUGCUCCGGCGGCCGGCGCUUGCUGCUCCCUGCUCACUCGCUGCUCCUGCGCUCACUGCUCCCCACUCGCUCGUUGCUCCUUCGCUUGCUGCU